UCCAGUCUGCUCACUGAUAAUUUAAAGAGCCGCAGUAUAUUGACUGUGCAAAGGUAGCAUAAUCAAUAGUUUUUUAAUUGAAAACUUGUAUGAAAGAUUAGACGAGAAAUUUAUUUUCUUUAUUUUAAAUAAUUAAAUUUUAAAUUUAAGUGAAAAUGCUUAAUUAAAUUUAAAAGACGAGAAGACCCUAUAGAUUUUUAUUAUUCAAAUAAAUUUAAUAAUCAAAUUUAAUACAAUAAUUUCAUUGGGGUGAUUUUGUAAUAUAAAAAACUUAAUUUUUUAAAACCAUAAAUAAUUGAAAUUUCUGAUCUAAAAUUUUUAAAGAAAAGAUUAAAUUACCUUAGGGAUAACAGCGUAAUUUUUUUUAAGAGUUCAUAUCUAUAAAAAAGUUUGCGACCUCGAUGUUGAAUUAAGAUAAUAUAUUGAAGUAG
rnacentral:rRNA from 1 species